rnacentral:rRNA from 1 species
GAUAACGAACGAGACCUUAGCUGCUAAAUAGGAUCGGGAAUCUCGAUUCUCGCAUCACUUCUUAGAGGGACUUUGCGUGUCUAACGCAAGGAAGUUUGAGGCAAUAACAGGUCUGUGAUGCCCUUAGAUGUUCUGGGCUGCACGCGCGCUACACUGAUGCAUGCAACGAGUUUUUGACCUUGGCCGGAAGGUCUAGGUAAUCUUUUGAGUAUGCAUCGUGAUGGGGAUAGAUUAUUGCAAUUAUUAAUCUUCAACGAGGAAUGCCUAGUAGGCGCAAGUCAGCAGCUUGUGCCGAUUACGUCCCUGCCCUUUGUACACACCGCCCGUCGCUGCAACCGAUCGAAGGGUCCUGUGAACUCGAUGGACAGCCCAUCCCCUUCUUGGGGUUAGGCUGGAAGUUGCGUAAAUAGAGCCCUUUAAAGGAUGCAAAAGUCGUAACACGGUUUCCGUAGGUGAACCUGCGGAAGGAUCAUUC